AUAAAGUUCAUUUUUCAGUUUUUAGAUACAAUGUUUUGACUCUUCGUCUUAUUUGAAAUUUUUUUGCGAUUAAUAUUUUUUUGUUACUAGAUGGUAAAACAUGAAUAAUAGUUUAUGCGUGACUGAAUUUUUUAAGUUUUUGUACAAAUUUUUCAAAUAAGACGAAUGUUCAAACUUUGGACACAAAAAGUC
rnacentral:pre_miRNA from 1 species